AACGAACGCUGGCGGCGUGCCUAACACAUGCAAGUCGAGCGUGAAAGUUCCUUCGGGAAUGAGUAAAGCGGCAGACGGGUGAGUAAUACAUAGGUAAUCUACCUUCGAGCUUGGGAUAACCCCGCGAAAGUGGAGCUAAUACCGGAUAAGACCACGUGGCAUACGCUACGGGGUAGAAGGUGGCUUGUAUUUAUACUGGCUAUCACUUGAGGAUGAGCCUAUGGCCUAUCAGCUUGUUGGCGGGGUAAGAGCCCACCAAGGCGACGAUCAGUAGCUGGUCUGAGAGGAUGAUCAGCCUCACUGGGACUGAGACACGGCCCAGACUCCUACGGGUGGCAG
rnacentral:rRNA from 1 species